rnacentral:lncRNA from 1 species
AGGAUCAUUUUCGGCUCCAAUGUUGUAAUCCGAUUCUUGUAAAUACACUUCAUAAUCACUAGAAACUGCUGGUCUUCUGAUUCUAGUAGAUCUUCUUAAUGUUGUCUCAACAUCUUGAUGAGAAGCUUNUUGUUCAACCGGUUGUUCAACAUUUUCUUGUUGCUCCUCGUCAACAACUUGAUCUACAUCAUCAUUCUCAACAGUUUGUGGAACUUCAAUUAUUGGUUGUCUAAUACGCUUUUGAG